UUUUCGCCUGAAUAAAAGAGGAUGAGAACCUCCGAAGGAGGGUUGCGCCGAGCGCAGCGAGACAACGUUGCGAACGCAACGGCCCGAGGGGCGCGUAAUCCUCUCUCGCCGACCA
rnacentral:sRNA from 1 species